rnacentral:rRNA from 1 species
GAUGAACGCUGGCGGCGUGCCUAAUACAUGCAAGUCGAGCGAACAGACGAGGAGCUUGCUCCUCUGACGUUAGCGGCGGACGGGUGAGUAACACGUGUAUAACCUACCUAUAAGACUGGGAUAACUUCGGGACACCGGAGCUAAUACCGGAUAAUAUCUUGAACCGCAUGGUUCAAUAGUGAAAGACGGUUUUGCUGUCACUUAUAGAUGGAUCCGCGCCGCAUUAGCUAGUUGGUAAGGUAACGGCUUACCAAGGCAACGAUGCGUAGCCGACCUGAGAGGGUGAUCGGCCACACUGGAACUGAGACACGGUCCAGACUCCUACGGGAGGCAGCAGUAGGGAAUCUUCCGCAAUGGGCGAAAGCCUGACGGAGCAACGCCGCGUGAGUGAUGAAGGUCUUCGGAUCGUAAAACUCUGUUAUUAGGGAAGAACAAAUGUGUAAGUAACUAUGCACGUCUUGACGGUACCUAAUCAGAAAGCCACGGCUAACUACGUG